rnacentral:rRNA from 1 species
GACGAACGCUGGCGGCGUGCUUAACACAUGCAAGUCGAGCGGUAAGGCCCUUUCGUGGGUACACGAGCGGCGAACGGGUGAGUAACACGUGGGUGACCUGCCUUUAGCUCUGGGAUAAGCCUGGGAAACUGGGUCUAAUACCGGAUAUGACUCCGCGGUGCAUGCUGUGGGGUGGAAAGCCUUGUGCGGCUGGAGAUGGGCCCGCGGCCUAUCAGCUUGUUGGUGGGAUGAUGGCCUACCAAGGCGACGACGGGUAGCCGGCCUGAGAGGGCGACCGGCCACACUGGGACUGAGACACGGCCCAGACUCCUACGGGAGGCAGCAGUGGGGAAUCUUGCGCAAUGGGCGAAAGCCUGACGCAGCGACGCCGCGUGAGGGAUGACGGCCU